rnacentral:rRNA from 1 species
UUUCUAGUGAUUAAAUACUAGAUACGCCCUGCCCUACGUAAUUAAGUGGCCGCGGUACAAUAACCGUGCUAAGGUAGCAUAAUCAAUUGUUUAUUAAUUGUAAAAUUGAAUGAAAGGGUAAACAAAAUAAAGGCUGUCUCCUACAAAAUAAUAUAAAUUAUCCUUUUUAUGAAGAGAUAAAAAUAUAUUUAAAGGACAAGAAGACCCUACAGAGCUUAAAUAUAAAUUUAUUAAAUAAAAUAAAAUUUGGUUGGGGCGACCUACGAUAAUAAAUAACAUCUUUAAUAUAAUAAGAGUAACAACUCUAAAAAAUAAUCCUAAAUAGAUUAAUGAACUAAGUUACCUUAGGGAUAACAGGCUGAUUUUUUUUAAGAGUUCUUAUCAAAAAAAUAGAUUGGCACCUCGAUGUUGGCUUAGGAAUACUAAAACUCGCAAAAGAGUUUAUAGUCGGUUUGUUCAACCUUUAAUAUCCU